GUGCCAGCCGCCGCGGUAAUACGUAUGGUGCGAGCGUUAAUCGGAAUUACUGGGCGUAAAGCGUGCGCAGGCGGCUUUGCAAGACAGAGGUGAAAUCCCCGGGCUCAACCUGGGAACUGCCUUUGUGACUGCAAGGCUAGAGUACGGCAGAGGGGGAUGGAAUUCCGCGUGUAGCAGUGAAAUGCGUAGAUAUGCGGAGGAACACCGAUGGCGAAGGCAAUCCCCUGGGCCUGUACUGACGCUCAUGCACGAAAGCGUGGG
rnacentral:rRNA from 1 species